AAUCAACGCUGGCGGCGUGCCUCAGACAUGCAAGUCGAACGAUUAAAGCUCUCUUCGGAGAGUGCAUAGAGUGGCGCACGGGUGAGUAACACGUAAGUAAUCUACCUUCGAGUGGGGAAUAACGUCCGGAAACGGACGCUAAUACCGCGUAAUGCAGCGGCAUCGUAAGAUGACAGUUGUUAAAGAUUUAUCGCUUGAAGAGGAGCUUGCGGCAGAUUAGCUAGUUGGUAAGGUAAUGGCUUACCAAGGCUAUGAUCUGUAACCGGUCUUAGAGGACAGUCGGUACACACUGACACUGAAUAACGGGUCAGACUCUUACGGAGGC
rnacentral:rRNA from 1 species